rnacentral:miRNA from 1 species
GGGGUCCUGUUAAAAAUGCAGGUUGUAGUUCAGUAGUUCUGGGAUGGAGCCCAAGAUUCUGCAUUUCUAACAAGCUC